UAUGCCAUAUAAACUUUGUGACUCUUCUCAACAGGUUCGCCCUUUUAUUUUAACUGAUUCUUUAUUAGAUCUUUCUUUUUUGCUUCGGCAUUUUAGGAGAUCUUGUUACUUUGAGUAAAUUGGAGUGUUCAUAGCAGACGGAUUAUACUACCCGCAUGCGUUAGAAUUUAACCCCCGGGAAUAACAAAAUUGGACAAGUCAUAAUAUUGAUCUAUUUUUUUAUUGUUCCCCCCCCUACCAUCCCUAGGCGUAGCUUGGGGGCAUUUGUAUUCAGAUGUCAGAGGUGAAAUUCUUAGAUUUUCUGGAGACAAACAACUGCGAAAGCAUUUGCCUAAAAUACUUCCAUUAAUCAAGAACGAAAGUUAAGGGAGUGAAGACGAUCAGAUACCGUCGUAAUCUUAACCAUAAACUAUGCCGACUAGGCUUUGGAUGAAAGAUUUAAAAUAAAGUUUUUCCC
rnacentral:rRNA from 1 species